rnacentral:rRNA from 1 species
AACGAACGCUGGCGGCAGGCUUAACACAUGCAAGUCGAGCGCCCCGCAAGGGGAGCGGCAGACGGGUGAGUAACGCGCGGGAACGUACCCUUUGCUACGGAAUAGCUCCGGGAAACUGGAAUUAAUACCGUAUGUGCCCUACGGGGGAAAGAUUUAUCGGCAAAGGAUCGGCCCGCGUUGGAUUAGCUAGUUGGUGGGGUAAUGGCCUACCAAGGCGACGAUCCAUAGCUGGUCCGAGAGGAUGAUCAGCCACAUUGGGACUGAGACACGGCCCAAACUCCGACGGGAGGCAACAGUGGGGAAUAUUGGACAAUGGGCGCAAGCCUGAUCCAGCCAUGCCGCGUGAGUGAUGAAGGCCUUAGGGUUGUAAAGCUCUUUCACCGGAGAAGAUAAUGACGGUAUCCGGAGAAGAAGCCCCGGCUAACUUCGUGCCAGCCGCCGCAGUAAUAC